AAUCAGUUGAAGUUGGGAUCAUUGGUUCACAUGAUCUCAAACAAAUUCAUCAUCAAGCUAAAGCCACUUGAUCCCGCAACGAAGCAGCAAGUAUUAAUCACUUCCUCAAAACCCUGCAAAUCUGGCUCAGGAAAUCUUCAUUAUUCUGAAGUGGCUGUAAUGUAUAUCUCUAUCAAACCCUAUCUCCAGUCCCCAUGGGGAGAAAAUAUUUUCUCAGUUAAGUCUCAAUGCUGGUUUUCCGGUUUCUCUUUGUGGCUCAAGUCUGGUAGUAAUAUCUCUUACUACCAAUAGUAUUUCACAUUUUUAUCCAAAGCAGUAUUUCCUUCCUAUCUGAAUCAAAUUGAUGGGGAUUAUUCCUAUGCAGCCAUUAAGCCAUACCUUGAGCAGACUGCAGAGUUAGGUUUCCAGUAUUGCUUAUCUCUCCAUCGUCACUAACAUCCCUAUGUUACCUCACCAACGAUAUCUUAUGAAGCCCGCUUUGUAUUUGUCAUUUUAGAGUAGACUGUUGGUGGAAUCAAUUACACACAUCUAAUUUGAGAAGGAGAGUUACAACAAUAUCUUUGGAAUAAUGUUGGAGGAAUCAAUUACACAUCUAAUUCAGAAAGAAAUUUAUUAUACUAGAGAUCACAGGUAAUUCAAGUAGGGAGAUGGGGACUGUUGAGUGUUGACACAGGUAACAAAAGGGCAGCCCAGUGCAUUAAAGCUCCCAAAAUGUGCGGGGUCUGGGCACAAGAGGUUGUUGACACAGGUAGUUAGAAAUAAAAUGGGAGAUGAGAUGUUGGUGUGGAAAGUUAUGGAUUGAUUGUGAGGGGAAGUUAGGGGAGAGUCCAGUUCUCAUGAAUAUGUGCAAGAGGAGAUCUAGAGCAUCUGUUAACCCAUUGAUCAGACCCAGAGAUAGAGCUUUUCAUCAAUUAACAUUCUGCUUUCUUUCUAUAUUCUGAUCCUGUUAUAUGGGGUAUAAUCUUAACCAAAGAUGAUGGGUUAGGCCCAGUGAAUUAUCAAUGACAAGAAUAGGAAGUUAAAAUGAGGAUUAUCAAUGCCUGCAUUCAGAAGUUACACAUCGUCCAAAAUAGCAAUGCGUAAAGCUGGCCCAACGCCUAGGUAGGAAAACUAACUUCAAAGGAGGAGGUUCCUAAAGGAUUCUGUAUCAACUAACAAGUCUUUGAGAAGCCAUUGAAGGGGAUUCAGGAUAUAGUCUGACACCAGAUUACAGUAGAGCAAGAUGGGGCCAGGUUUUAGGAGUGAUAAGAAAUUUAGUCCAGUCUCCAGAUCAAGUGUGUUAGAAGCAGUUACAGUACUGUCACUGGAGGAAGUUUCAAAACAAAAAGAGGAAUACCAUGUGAAUUGCUGGGACAGGAACAACAGCUGAAAUUCAUCUUGAGGACAUGAUGAAACUUUACAAGGGAUGAGGCAGGUAUGAGAAAAGGUGAAUGGGUGAAAUAGGAGGGGUUUAUUGCAUCAGUUAUUCUGCAGUAUCUUUGUAUCUCAUUUCUGCAUCUCUGAUCUUGAAUCACAUUGACACAGAUGUCAUUUUCUUUC